rnacentral:rRNA from 1 species
GAUCAUGGCUCAGGAUGAACGCUGGCGGCGUGCUUAACACAUGCAAGUCGAGCGAAGCACUUAAGUUUGAUUCUUCGGAUGAAGACUUUUGUGACUGAGCGGCGGACGGGUGAAGGUAACGCGUGGGUAACCUGCCUCAUACAGGGGGAUAACAGUUAGAAAUGACUGCUAAUACCGCAUAAGACCACGGUACCGCAUGGUACAGUGGUAAAAACUCCGGUGGUAUGAGAUGGACCCGCGU